GGAUAUUAGUCACUUUAAUAUAAUAUUUCCAGUACUCUAUCUGUAAAGGAAAAAAAGCAAUUAGUGGGAAUUAGAUGCACUUUCUUGCCUGUGUGUGCAGUGACAUGCAGGUCAAUGCUUUUCAUUUUUUGAUAACAUUACUUUUUCUGCCCGUUUGUUUAAAUGAAUUGUUUUGUUCAGUCUUUGUUCUCUCUGCUUAUUUUAUCAGACAACCA